CACUUUGUCUUUAUGGCAAAUGUGAGAUGCAGUGUAUGGAAUGUCAAAUUUCUAGUAUGAGAAAUUAACGAUUUAAGUCCUUCUUAAAUGAGGCCAUUUACCCAAAGAGGGUGCCAGGCCCGUAUAACGUUAAUGAUUACUAGAUGGCAUUUCCAAAGAGUCGUGUUGCUUGAUAGUGCAGCACUAAGUGGGUGGUAAACUCCAUCUAAAACUAAAUAUAACCAUGAGACCGAUAGUAAACAAGUACCGUGAGGGAAAGUUGAAAAGAACUCUGAAUAGAGAGUUAAAUAGUACGUGAAACUGCUUAGAGGUUAAGCCCGAUGAACCUGAAUAUCUAUUACAGAAAAUUCAUCAUUAUGAAUGUAAUAUUAAUUUAAUAUUAUAACAAUAGUGUGCAUUUUUUCUGUAGAGGACAUUGUAAUCUAUUGACAUAAACUAAAUUUAUCAAAAGAUCAACUGCGCUAGUUUAUUCGAAUUAUUUUGCUUGCAAUUUAACAUAGGAUAAAUGCUUUUGAUUUGAUAAAGUGUCGAUAGAUUUAUUAUAUAUAGUGCUUGAAUAUUUUUAAUAUUCUAUAAUAGCAUAUUAAUUAUUAAUUUUUAUGUUUAUUGUAUGCACUUAUAUGAUUAACAAUGCGAAAGAUUCAGGAUACCUUCGGGACCCGUCUUGAAACACGGACCAAGGAGUCUAACAUAUUUGCAAGUUAUUGGGAAUAAAAACCUAAUAGCGGAAUUAACAUAACUUAAAUUAAUUGGGAUUAAUUUUUAGCCUAUUUAUAGUCUAUUAAUUCAAUCCCGGGGCGUUCUAUACAGUUAUGUAUAAUAAUAUUUAUAUUAUUUAUACCUCUAACUGGAACGUACCUUGAGCAUAUAUGCUAUGACCCGAAAGAUGGUGAACUAUACUUGAUCAGGUUGAAGUCAGGGGAAACCCUGAUGGAAGACCGAAACAGUUCUGACGUGCAAAUCGAUUGUCAGAAUUGCAGUAUAGG
rnacentral:rRNA from 1 species